UGGGGAAUUUUGGACAAUGGGCGAAAGCCUGAUCCAGCAAUGCCGCGUAUGUGAAGAAGGCCUUCGGGUUGUAAAGCACUUUUGUCCGGAAAGAAAUCCUUGGCUCUAAUACAGUCGGGGGAUGACGGUACCGGAAGAAUAAGCACCGGCUAACUACGUGCCAGCAGCCGCGGUAAUACGUAGGGUGCAAGCGUUAAUCGGAAUUACUGGGCGUAAAGCGUGCGCAGGCGGUUUGCUAAGACCGAUGUGAAAUCCCCGGGCUCAACCUGGGAACUGCAUUGGUGACUGGCAGGCUAGAGUAUGGCAGAGGGGGGUAGAAUUCCACGUGUAGCAGUGAAAUGCGUAGAGAUGUGGAGGAAUACCGAUGGCGAAGGCAGCCCCCUGGGCCAAUACUGACGCUCAUGCACGAAAGCGUGGGGAGCAAACAGGAUUAGAUACCCUGGUAGUCCACGCCCUAAACGAUGUCAACUAGUUGUUGGGGAUUCAUUCCUUAGUAACGUAGCUAACGCGUGAAGUUGACCGCCUGGGGAGUACGGUCGCAAGAUUAAAACUCAAAUGAAUUGACGGGGUCAUAGCUGUUUCCU
rnacentral:rRNA from 1 species